GAGCGUCUCAGUAGAACCUACAACAUCCCACACACCUCACAAUACUCAUACAUCCAACUUAAAUCCUUCCUGCACAAACUCAACAAGGACAACAAAGUAGAAUCAAAUAAAAUGGGAGACCCCUCCACCUGGGAACAAAUAGGUAUCACGGGUAAAAUUCCUCCACUUUAUAAGCCACUCUCAAAUUGCUAUAAACUAAUUCUGCCAUACCAGUCCCUACCGGGCUCCACACAGGCAAACCAAUGGGAAAUGGACCUUCAAACCUCCAUCACUGACAAUCAGUGGAAAACUCUCACAUCCUCCGUUAGAAAGCUGGUCAAAUCUGCCUCCCUCAUGGAGCAAUACCAGAAAACAAUAUACAGGUGGUAUAUGGUGCCGCUUCGCCUACAUAAACUGUAUCCUCACUCAUCUCCGAUGUGCUGGAGAUGCAAACAAGAGGCGGGGUCAGUCCUUCACAUAUGGUGGCGUUGCCCACGAUUAUUUAGGUACUGGGGAGAUGUCCAAAAACUAAUUGCUGACAUCACAAAAAUCAAAAUACCUUUUGAACCCAGGCCCUUUUUGUUACUGGAUGUCCCUAGGGAAGUACCCAAACAGUCGAGAAAACUAAUAUACCAUAUACUGCUGACCGCACAAAAACUAAUAGCCAGAUCCUGGAAAACAAAUGAGGCCCCCCAUAUCCCAAACCUUAUUCAGGAUAUAGAUAACCAGGCAAUCUAUGAAACCAGUUUUUCCGGGACGCGCUCUGGCUCAAGCAGCCUUGGAGGGGCUUGGGACCAAUGGCGCACCUGGAGAAAGGCCAACCUCAACGCCUAAUAUAGUAGGACGCUGUAACGACCCAAGAGCAAACCGCAGGACUAGGACAGUCAGGCAGUAAGGAACUAAGAGACAGACAGAAUAGCAUAAAUCGUGGCUGGAAUAGUGGCUAGCUGGGCGACCACCAUAGAGAGGUCCCCGAUUGUGGUGUAACUAUUGUGUAACUAUUGUGUAAAUUGUGUAACUAUUGUAUGACUGACGUACCUAUUGUGUAAAAAUGAACUAAUAUACGCAACUGUAAGCAAUGUAACUGCGUAAGAACUGUAAUUGUGUAAAUAAUGUAAGGGCAUACCCAUCGCUCAACAUGUGACUCAUGGUAUCGUGACUGUCCCCUCCUCCCCCCCAUCCCUCCUCCUUCUUUUUUCUGUACCCUCUCCCCUUCCCCCCGCCCAUUUACACUUGUG